rnacentral:lncRNA from 1 species
CUAUGUUGAAGUCAGUGUAAAAUGGCGAAAAGAGGUGAGAAGUAAAUUGUUUUAGUGCAGAACAAUGUUGUGAUUGUAUGUGUAGCGAAUGUAUCUUAAGUUAUUAAUAUUUAUUGUUUAUUUAUUUUGCAGGCACUGAAAGCAACAUGGUUGUUUCCAGGUUUGGGAAGAAAGACUUCGUUGUACCUAAAGGUCUGAAUGUUUGCUUCUUGACGGAUUCCAUGUGCCGGGGUUUGGACCAAUACUGUGAGGGAGCACAUUGUUGGGUUCAUCCCGGAACUACUUUGGUGCGUUCAGCACAACAGCACGUCUAUCAUCUGAGAAGAGUAAACGGUGAUGCCUUGUUGAUCAUCCACAUUGGGACAAACGAUGUGGCUAGUGGUGUUUCAGCGGAAACAGUCGUUAACCGAAUGGCCUUGCUGGUGGAACGCCUUCGUCAUUCUUUUAAGUACAAACUGCAUUUCGCCAUUUGUUCUGUUUUGCCUCGUUAUGUUGAUGAUAAGCAAACUAAACAUAUUGUGAAGCGUUGCAAUAUGUUGUUGGAAAGAUGGUGUAGUGAGAUGGACAAUGUUGUUUUUUUGCGAACGUGGAGAGCAUUUGUGUCUGGAGGAUGUAUAUGUUCUGAAAUGUUCCGGCCAGAUGGACUUCACUUGAAUGUGAAAGGGAAAGAGCGUCUUUUUCAGUAUUUUAAACAUUUUUUGUGGAACUUUUGUAAUUAUAUUCUUCGCUUUCCAAACUUGCAGAAAUAAAUGGCUAUGGAAAUGUAAGCUUUUUAAAAGUGUUGAUGGAACUUAUUUAUUAUACGAUAUUUUUGGGGUUAAAAGAAAUAUUCUGUAAAUAGCAGUGCAAUUAUGUUUAUACAUGCAAAUAAGGGUGUGUAAUAUUGAGACUUAUCUCGAUAUUUUCUUGGAUUUUAUUGAUAAAGAUAAAUAGACGGUAUUUUGCUGAGUCUGUUAUUGUGCUGGUACCUUAAGGUCUGCCGGACAGGUGACUUUAUAGUUUUUGAUAUUCUUUAUAUUCUGUGUGGUUGGUUCAUACUGAGACAAAUUAAUCUUUUCCAAUAAGUUUAAACUAAUUCACAUUUAAUUAGUGAAUUAGAAUGUGACAUUUGCGUUGUUACCAAGCAAAUCAGCACAGAAAUUAUUUAAAAGAUGAUUAGUGCAGGUCAUGAACGCAUUUAACUUGCAGUUAUAAAUGCAUAAAUAUGCCUAAUGGUUUGAUAUAUUAAACAUAAAAUGUUGAAUACUGAUAUUUGAAAUUCUUUAAAUAAUAAAAGAUACUCUGAGUGUGAAAUUAAAGCCGCAAGUAGGUGCUAGCAAGUCUCUGGGUGCGUUCGACUUGAAGCACGGCUGCAGACGGCGAUCAAGGAGAGCAGCCGCUUGCAGCCGGGGGCGGAGAGGAAAACAGACACGUCCUGCUCCCGUUAGUGACACUCACGUGGUGUUUGCGUACUUUAUCACAGAUGAAGUAAAUAAAAUUCAGUAUUUGUCAAAUACACAGACAUUUCAGAAACGUUUUCAUGAGCAAUAGAAACACUUUUUAUAUACUGCUUAAUACAGCGCCAUAUUUUCAAGAAUAAAGUUGAACAUAAUCAUAUAGCUACUAUUUAAAUAUUAAUACAGUGGGGUAUAUAUGCUUUUAUCAGUGUUCUAUGAUAAACGUGAUUCAAUACAACAGUGCGAGUACAUUAAAAAAGCGUUUACUACGGUGGCCGAGAGAGCUCA